UGGGGAAUAUUGCACAAUGGGGGAAACCCUGAUGCAGCGACGCCGCGUGAGUGAAGAAGUAUUUCGGUACGUAAAGCUCUAUCAGCAGGGAAGAAAAAAAGUCCUUUGGACUUUGGACGGUACCUGACCAAGAAGCCCCGGCUAACUACGUGCCAGCAGCCGCGGUAAUACGUAGGGGGCAAGCGUUAUCCGGAUUUACUGGGUGUAAAGGGAGCGUAGACGGCAGCGCAAGUCUGGAGUGAAAUGCCGGGGCCCAACCCCGGAACUGCUUUGGAAACUGUGCAGCUGGAGUGCAGGAGAGGUAAGCGGAAUUCCUAGUGUAGCGGUGAAAUGCGUAGAUAUUAGGAGGAACACCAGUGGCGAAGGCGGCUUACUGGACUGUAACUGACGUUGAGGCUCGAAAGCGUGGGGAGCAAACAGG
rnacentral:rRNA from 1 species